UGGGGAAUUUUGCACAAUGGAGGAAACUCUGAUGCAGCGACGCCGCGUGAGUGAUGAAGAUCUUCGGAUUGUAAAACUCUGUCCUUAGUGAAGAUAAUGACAGUAACUAAGAAGCAAGCCCUGGCUAAAUACGUGCCAGCAGCCGCGGUAAUACGUAUGGGGCAAGCGUUGUCCGGAAUUAUUGGGCGUAAAGGGUACGUAGGCGGUUUAAUAAGUCCUAAUUAAAAGGCUAUGGCUCAACCAUAGUAUGGUUAGGAAACUGUUGAACUUGAGUAGAUGAGGGGAAAGUGGAAUUCCAUGUGUAGCGGGGAAAUGCGUAGAUAUAUGGAGGAACACCAAUGGCGAAGGCAACUUUCUGGAAUCAAACUGACGCUGAGGUACGAAGGCGUGGGGAGCAAACAGG
rnacentral:rRNA from 1 species